GACGAACGCUGGCGGCGUGCCUAAUACAUGCAAGUAGGACGCAGUUGCGAACGGGUGAGUAACGCGUAGGUCACUGCCUAUUUGAGGGGGCUAACUAUUGGAAACGAUAGCUAAUACCGCCUACUAGUAGAUGGACCUGCGUUGUGUUAGCUAGUAGGUAGGGUCAUGGCCUACCUAGGCGACGGUACAUAGCCGAACCGAGAGGGUGGACGGGCACAAUGGGAAUGUGAAAACGCCGCGAAGCCUACGGGAGGCAGGAGGAGGGAAUCUUGGGCAAUGGGGGGAACACUGGACGAGCAACGGCGCGGGAGUGAAGAAGGUCUGUGGAGCGGAAAGCUCUGUUGUUAAGGAAGCGUUACGGAACCAGAAAGGGACGGAUAACUACGUGCCAGCAGCCGCGGUAAUAC
rnacentral:rRNA from 1 species